rnacentral:misc_RNA from 1 species
CACAUGGUUGCUAAUCAC